GGAGAGGUGUCUGAGUGGUCGAAAGAGGCGGUCUUGAAAACCGUUGAACCGCAAGGUUCCGUGGGUUCGAAUCCCACUCUCUCCG
rnacentral:tRNA from 1 species